ensembl:lncRNA
UGAAAAGGGGACGUUUCUUUUUUUUUGCUGAGUUUAUCUUUCGUACACACACUAAUGCACCUCACAAUACUAUAGAAUCAUGACUAGGAAUAGCCAUUAAUUAAUCCACACACACACACACCAUGAUUAGGAACCCUUUAGUGACCUCUGACCCUCCCUCAACAGCAUAUCCCAGGCUUUGGCACUAUUCGAGGCAUUCCAACCGACACGGAGCCUAACAACCGGGGCCGUGGGCGAGGCAGGGGUCGAGGAAAGCCUACGACUGGCAGCAGCUACAACCAAAGUAGGACGCUUCACUUGGACUGUCUAUCUCAGGAUCUAGACGGGCCUUAAGGUCUUUAAGAGCAUGUUCUCACAGAGAUGAGGUUGUCAGAAAAUCAUUCAAAUGUGGCUUAUUUUAGAUUAUUUAGUAAAUAAGUUAAUGAUUAGACAAUAAGCCUUUAGUCAGACUGUUCUAGAGAGCUUGUUAGGAAAUCGUCCAACUCUUUUGUGCUCCUUUGCGUUAAGGUAAUAAAUGUGUAUCUCUUUUCUUGUUAACAGCAAGCUACCGUUAUGGAAGCAGUGCUGGCUCUGGUUAUCACAAUCUGUACAGUAUGGGUGCAACAGAGGCUGCUUCCACAACAACCAUCUCCACUGGUGACGCCUCCACAGAGGCAGAUGCCAGCGGCAACACCACCGGCUACGGCACCUUCUACCCGAAUCAUCCUACACCACACCGGCCAUAACCACCUCGGCCGCCAUGACCGCCCAAGCCCAGGUCGGUGCAUCUUCCCUGGGUGACUACCAGUCGGUGCCCCCUCCCCUGGACCAGCAGAGCCCCUAUAGUUAUGGCUACGGAGGGGAUAAGAAGAGUCUGCUGACUGCAGCUCAGUCUCAAGCCCAACAGACCCAGCAACAGGUGGACUACUCUAUGUACAGUACAGCCUACCCCAGCUCUGUCACCGGGGGCCAAAUGUACAGUUACGGUGAGUGGGGAUUCGGUGAGUGGAAAUCUAUAUAAGGGGCCAAAGGAGGCCCCUACCGCCACACACACUCAUACACACACACAUUAAUAUACCGGUAACUGCUCGACGUAACAGUGCCUUCAGAAAGUGUUCUUACAGAUGAUAAUAAUGAUGUGUGGAGUACAGAGAUGAGGAAGUCAUUCAAAAAUCAUGUUCACCAUUAUUGCAGAGUGAGUCCAUGCAACUUAUUAAAUACUGGAAUGUAAUUUAGCCUUGUCAUAACAAAGGGGUUGAAUACUUAUUAGCUCAAGACAUUUCAGCUUUUCAAAUGUUUACAUUUCUAAAAACAUAAUUCCACUUUGACAUUAUGGGGUAUUGUGUAUAGGCCAGUGACAAACAAAUUCUCAUUUUAUUUGAUUUUAGAUUCAGGCUGUAACACAACAAAAUGUGAAAAAGGUCAAGGAGUGGGAAUACUUUCUGAAGGCACUGUAUGUGUGUAUACUAAUAUAUAGAUUUUUAUCUGGUAUUAUUUCUGAUAUUGGUUCUGUCUGUAGUCACUUGAUAUCCAAAUGUGGUCUUAAUAAUGGCUUAAAGAGUGUUAGUAGAGCAUCUGAUUGGUUGAUUAUUUAAUGUCUUGUUCUUAUUGAUGUUUCAUUGGUCCGUAGGCUACGGCAACCAAUCGAGCUUCAGCAUGUAUGGGAACGCCUCCUCCCAGGGCUAUGGGGCGGCUGCUACUCCCCAGACCCAACAGACCUCCUACCCCACGGCAUACGGAAACAUGAACUAUCAGUACAAAUAGAGGGUACCACACACACACACACACACCACAUCCCUCUCUCAAGCCCCCCACCAACCCUCUAAAGCCUUCCCCCAGAGGAAAAGAAUACCCUCGUGUCUUUCUCUACUUUCAUUAUAUUGAUCUAAUAUUGAUGAAUCCUAAACCCUCAAGUCAUUUUCACCAUCACUAUAUUUCAUAAACCAGACUAUCUAUUUCUUUAUUUACCAUGUGGUAAAUGUAACCUACAUGUGUCUAACAAGUAGUUCAGUUCUGUAUAGGGAUUACAAAAAGGAAAUAAUAAUAAUAGUGCUUUCAGGAUGAUGCUAUCUUGGGUCAUAGACUUCUUGUUUUGUUCAAGUUUCUUUCUUUUUACACUUUUUUUUUUUCUGUUGUCAAGCCACCCGAGGUUGAAUGUGAAUGUAAACGGAGAAUCUGUUCUUAUUUCAAAGACUUGUUUUCUUUACAUUUUUAUUUUCGAUUUCAAUUUGAAUCACUGUUAUGUUUUAACUGUUAUUAUAUUGACCAGCAGUGUGGUUAAAAAAAAAGUUGACAGUAACUUGGAUUUUUAUGUGAAAGAGCAAUGGAAAUGUGUUAAUUGCUGUUUCAUUGGAAGGUUUCGGUAAAAGGCUUGUAUCUGGUUGUUUGUAAGAAUAAAUUACUUUUAUUUUGGA